UAUAUAUAUAUACCUUUUAUUUAUAUAUUAUAUUUUAUAUAUAUAUAUAUCUAAUAAUUCAUUGUUAUAUUUUAUUCUUAUCAAUAAUCUUCAUAUGAAGAUUUAACAAAUUACAUAAGAAGUGAAAUAUCAAAACGAAAGAAGAUAUUCUCUUUGGUGUGAUUGAUUACAAGGAACAUCGUAAUCACAGUUAAGAUAGUUGAAUUAUCGGUACUUUUAUUUGACCGGUAUAUUCUCUCUGACCAAUGACAAAAAGUAGAUCGAGCAUAAUCAAAAAAAUAAUCGUUACGAAAAUACGAAGAUUAAAAGAUCUCUCUAAAGGAUCUAAAGGAUUCCAACAACUUUCGGACACACCAGGAUGAAAGAAGAGUAAACCAAAUAAAGAAAAAAAAAGGAAAAAAAAAAAAACAAAAAUUUUUAGGAACAAAGAACACACAUGUCAACAAGAUUAAAAGAUAAAGAUAGUCAUUAUGAAGAUACUCUUGUUGAGAAUAGUAACAACGAAGAUAAAGAAUACAACCAAUAAUGAGAUUAGACAAUGACGAAAUGUCGAGGGAUAAAAAAAAAUAAUGAUUGGGAUCAAAUGAAAGUGAGUAAACGAUAAAUAAAUAUGACGUUUGUUAUCAUUUUUAUUCGCAGAAAUGUGCGAAUAACGUAAAAACGUAGGAUUAAUAUAUUAAAGGCACCAAUGAAAUAUUACCGACGUUCAAAUCGGAUUUAUUCGGAUCUCGAGGUUGAGAGAUAAAUUGAAGAAAAAUAAAGAAUAAUUUCGAUUAAUCGAAAAAAAUAAAAAAAAUAGAUCAUUUAUGAUUCUGUAUACGCCACACGGUUAAACGAUUUUGAAUCGUUAGAGAAGAUUUUGAAGCAUUAUUAAUUAGCGAAUUGGAGAGAAGUCUGGCAAAACGAUGAUGUGAUUGCCCGUCUUUCUCCAUGGUAACGAUUAGUUGCACGAGAAUACAAUAGGAAGAUAGGAUAGAACGCGGCAGAGAGUAUUUACUACGGUAAACUAGCCAAAGGCACAAAAGCAACCAUGCCGGAUAAGGAAACAGUCGAAUGGAGAUUAGUUUUGGGACUAAGAAACAUACAAUUCCACGAUUAUUUGGGACAUCUUUCAAGAUAUGCAAAACCUAUCUCUACCAGUCAACUGCUAGCAGACUUUAAAAAAAAAGUGCUGAUCAUUAACCACACUAACCGACCAUAUCAUGAUAAAUUGAUGAAAAGCAGGACUGUUAACGACAAUUACGUGAUACAACUGUAAAUAAGAUAAUAAGUGUACAAAAUUAUAAAGUAAUGUUACAUUUUUGAAUGCAAUAAAGCAAAUUGUUAUUUAUUAUUUAUUAAGAUUGGAGAAAGAGAACGUCGAGGAUAAUAACUUUGUAGAAAGAACUACAAUAGCAGAGAUAUAUAGUUCGAACAAGUCAAACUAUAAUCAGAUCAAUUAUGAUCGAUCUAGGAAACUUAUGCGUAAUACUAAAUACAGGAUUAACAACGACGAUGAAAUAGGACUGACGUACAUAUCUAAAGUUUCAUAAAAUUAACAGAGUAUGGAUAUGGAUAUGUAUUAUAACUGUAUUAUAACUGUUGGAACUAUAAUUGGGAGUAAAGGAGAAUUGAAGAUCUAUCCGUAGUUCCGAUGACGUAUCAAGUCAUCCCUUUGAUCCUAUAGGUCAUCAUCCCUUACGGGAGGAUGACAUACAGGACGAUAUUGUAAUCAUAUGUUUAGUAACAAUAGUGAACGACAAGACCAUGUAGAUUGUAGAGACAUGUAUUAAAUAUUACUGUCUCGUAAUGGACAAAGAGAUAGCGCGUCAUUACAUGCGGAAAACCGAUCCAACAAGGAAGACACGAGAAUAGAAGCGAACAUUGGAUCAUAUUCAUUAUACACAAAAAUGUUGUACACCGAACUAUUGAAUAAACUGAGAUGGAUAGAAACACCAAUGGGAUUCGACAAUUGUACAUUAUCAACCGUAUUGAUUAUCCAACAUCAUGAACGACGACAACAGGAAAUAAUGCACAGUAACUAGAUUAUAGAAGGUAACAUCAUUGAAGCGAAUGAUUUUCUGUUUUCCUGUUGUUCGAUGAUACUACUCUUUUCGAGAUAAAAUGACGUGCAAGGUAUGAAUGGGAGAAUGAAGGGGAAAGGGAAUGUAGAUCGUAAAACAGUUAAAUAAUAACAAUGAAAUAAUAAUAUUCUAUAUCGAGAAAAUACAGGAUCGAUCGAACAGACAGAGUAGACAUAUUAAAUAGUAUAUCAUAUCGAGUCCUAAGUAAGCGUUAUAUUAUCAAGUAUUACCGAUAACUGAAGUUUCUAAACUAUAUGAUUGUCGUUUAACAUAUACGGUCGGAUUUUAUCAGUUCGCUGGAAUAUCAUUUCGACUUUCUAAUGCUGCCUGUCGCGUUUCAACGACUAUGUUUAAUGUAGUUUUAGAUAAUCUGCCGGAGAUUAUUGCAAUUGUAUGUAUAUUUGAACGGUAUCAUUGCAACAUCGCAAAAAUAUCGAAGAAGGAAUAGAUAUCCUCUCUUUCUCUUUCUCUCUAUCUGUCUCAUACCGCGUUCCCUUUGUUACAUUAUACUACUCUACAUUGAAUUUCUGAUAAGUAAUGUAUAUACCAAUCGUAACCAUCUAAAUUACAACCGAGUUGCUAUUUAUAAUUAGAUUUCUAAAAUAAUGUUUCCUAAUUGUCCAUUUGCAAUUUGGUAUCUUUAUGUGUUCGAUAUGUUAUUUUCUAUCAUUAGAAAAUUUUUCUAAUUUAUUGACUAUCAAAGUGUUUCCUGUAACACUGAACGUUUAGACAAGUUCUAUUAUUAGAUAAACUCUUUUAAAAAACAAUUUUAAGUCCCGUUACAGAUGAUAUUUACAAAUUACUCUAAAUCAUGGAAUAGUUAUUAUAAUUGCACCUUAAAACAAUUAUGUAUUUAUUCAAAAUUAUUUUUUUUUUCAUAGAGGACAUAGAAAUCUUGGCUAUUUAUCUAACGAAAUAAUAUAAUAUAUAUAUAUAUAUAUAUAUAUAUAUAUAUAUACAUAUAUAUACAUGUAUAUAUAAUUUUAUCUGACUAGUUAGUUCAUAUCAGGAAAAUAUUAUUAUACCUUGUUUAAUUUUGCCAAGUCUAAUCGAUUUUAAUAUGACAUAAAAAUUUUUAUCUAUAUCGAUAAAUUUUUUCAUAACAAUCUUUAGGAGUGUUCAGAUUUCAACAAUACAUACUUAACAAUAUUAUACACGGUACACGAUUUUUCAUUGAUAGAAAAUAUGAAUUAGUUUUGAUUGAAAUAAGAAAUUAGAGACGAAAUAUAAAGGGCUAUACGAAAUCGUGAAGAUACUUGAUAACGAUAGAUAUUUGAUACAGGAUAUUGAAACAGAACAACAGAGUAAUACAUUUUAUAAGAUUAUCGUUGCUUUAAAUAGACUGAAACCUCUAUCAAUAUUCAACGAAUCAUAUGUAUCGUGUUAUGUUAGAUUUCACUUUUCUCAAUAAGCAAACUGUUCUAGAAACUAUACAGAAUCUCUACUUCGUUUUUCUUGUUCUUGUUUUACUUAAUUUUUUAAUGCUGUCGAUACAAUGAAAUUCGCAUCCUUCUUAAAUUUUUUUUUUAUUGCAUCUUAAAUUCGCACAAUACCUACUUAUUCUUUAAAUUAUCCGAUGUCUCAAUUUUCCCUAAAAACAAUACGUUAGUAUUCGCUUCGUAAAAUCUCUCUAUUUUUAACAUUAUAAUGGAAACUGAAAAAUUCACUCUUUACUAUCGAAUAUUUUGUUUUAAUAUUCUAUUAAGCGCUUAAAUUUAAUGAUGUUUCACUAUUUUUUUUUUUUAAACAACGUAAGAUAACGCUUUUUCUUAUAAGCAAUUUGUUCAAAUAAAAAUUCUGAACAUGAAUGAUUUUCAUUUCUCUUGACUUUAAUUGAAGGAAGUACACUUAAUUUUUCAUUGUUGCAUUAAAAAUUAUGCACGAUAUGACAAUCAUACACUAAUGCUUUAUUUCGAAUACUACGUACUUUCACCUUAAGAGAUUAAAUGCGAUUAUUAUUGAAUCUUUGCUUUUUUGAACAGAUAACUAGUUUUGUAUAUCUCAUUGCAUUUAUUUUAAUUUUUGCUAAAUCAUAACUCUGUUCUUUCAAUUAAAGAAAUCUAUAUUAUGUUCGUUAGAAUUCAGUCUGUCAAGAUUGUCAAUAAUUCGCAUAAUAAUGCCACCGAUGUAGAGAUACACAUUUCUUCUGAUUAUUUUCCAUUUCCAGAAUACGUUAGGUUUAUUAAAUAAUUCCCUAUCUUCUGAAAGAUGUGAAGAUAUCUUCCCUAUGUGCCAUCUACUAGAAAUCUUCAUGUCCUAUAAUUUAUCAGAUUCCUACUUUACAGUUUCUCCCUCUGUAAUACUUUCUUCGUUUCAUCAGGAAUUAUACACUUGCAUAGAUAUUUUUAAAGUCCUUCAUGCAAAAAUAAUUGUGUAUUACGUUUGAUAAAAAUUGAAUAUAUUUUUCUUGAAAUAUCUUCUAUUCAUGCACAUUUUCUAGCGCUUAGUUCAAUAUAAUAUGAUAAAUAAUAAAAAUUCUGCACGUAAAUGAUUCUCAAUUGGUUUAAUUUUAAAUGAAAGGUAUGUACUCUUAAUUUUUGCUUUUUUCUUGAAAUGUUUUGCACGAAAUCAUAAAAUACUGCAUUAUUCCAAAUAUUAGGAGAUAUCACCUUAAUAGUUAAAAGCUAUUCUUAUUGAAUCUUUCCUUAUUUGCAAAGACAAAUAUUUUUGUAGGCCCCACAGUAUUUACUGUUCUUUUAAUUAAAGAAAUUUAUAUUAUGUCCGUUAGCAUUCGGUCUGUUAAGAUUGUCCAUAAUUCCCAUAAUAACGCAAUCGAUGUAGGGAUACACAUUUCUUCUGAUUAUUUUCCUUUUCCAGAAUAUAUGAGGUUUAUUAAAUAGUUCUCUAUUCUCUGAAAGAAAUGAGGAUAUCUGCCCUAUGAACCGUCUACUUGAUGUUUACUUGUAUUAUAACUUAUCAGAUUCCUACAACAGAGUUUCUCCCUCUGUAAUACAUUUGUCCUUUCAUCAAGAUUUUUACACGCGGAUAGAUUUUUUUAAAGUUCUUCGUGCAUAAAUAGUCGUGUAUUAGGUUUGAUUCGAAUUUAAUAUAUUUUUCUUGAAAUAUCAAGUAGGCAUGCACAUUUUCUAGCGCUUAGUUCAAUGUAAUAUUACAAUUAAUAAAAAUUCUGCACGUAAAUUUUCUCAAUUGGUUUAAUUUUAAAUGAAUGGUAUGUACACUAAAUUUUUGCUCCUUUCAUGAAAACUUUUACACGAAAUUAUAAAAUGCUGCAUUAUUUCAAAUAUUAGCAGAUAUCACCUUAAUAGUUAAAAGCGAUUCUUAUUGAAUCUUUCCUUAUUUGCAAAGACAAAUAGUUUUGUAGGGCCCUUAGUAUUUAUGUUAACUUUGUUAAAUCAUAACACUGUUAUUUUAGUUAAACAAAUCUAUAUUAUGUCCGUUAGAAUUCGGUCUGUUAAGAUUGGCCAUAAUUCCCUUAAUAAUGCAACCGAUGUAGGGAUACACAUUUCUUUAUUUAUUUUCCUUUUCCAUAAUACCUUAGGUUUAUGAAAUAUUUCCCUAUCUUCUGAAAGAUGUGACGAUAUCUUCCCUAUUUGCCAUCUACUAGAAUUCUUCAUAUCAUAUAAUUUAUUAGAUUCCAACUAUAGAAUUUCUCCCUCUGUAAUACAUUCGUCCUUUCAUGACGAAUUUUACAGGUGUAUAGAUUUUUUUAAAUUUCAUCAUGCAAAGUGAUUGUGUAUUAGGUUUCAUUAGAAUUGAAUCUAUCUUUCUUGAAAUGUCUACUAGUUAUACACAUUUCAUAGCGCUUAGUUCAAUUGGAAAGUAACUUUAAUAAGAAUUCUGCACGUAAAUGAUUCACAAUUGGUUUAAUUUUAAUAGAAUGGUCCGUACACUUAAUUUUUGCUCCUUUCAUGAAAAGUUUUGUACGAAAUCAUAAAAUGCUGCAUUAUUCCAAAUAUUAUGAGAUAUCACCUUAAUAGUUAAAAGCGAUUCUUAUUGAAUCUUUCCUUAUUUGCAAAGACAAAUAGUUUUGUAGGCCCCAUAGUAUUUAUGUUUACUUUGUUAAAUCAUAACACUGUUCUUUUAAUUAAAGAAAUUUAUAUUAUCUCCGUUAGCAUUCGGUCUGUUAAGAUUGUCCAUAAUUCCCAUAAUAACGCAAUCUAUGUAGCGAUACACAUUUCUCCUGAUUAUUUUCCUUUUCCAGAAUAUGUUAGGUUUAUUAAAUAGUUCUCUAUUCUCUGAAAGAAAUGAGGACAUCUUCCCUAUGUGCCAUCUACUAGAAAUCUUCAUGUCCUAUAAUUUAUCAGAUUCCUACUUUACAGUUUCUCCAAGUGUAAUACUUUCUUCGUUUCAUCAGGAAUUAUACACUUGCUUAGAUAUUUUUAAAGUUCUUCAUGCAAAAAUAAUUGUGUAAUACGUUUGAUUAGAAUUGAAUAUAUUUUCCUUGAAAUAUCUACUAGUCAUGCACAUUUCAUAGCGCUUAGUUCAAUAUAAUAGGACUUUUAAUAAAAAUUCUACACGUAAAUGAUUCUCAAUUGGUUUAAUUUUAAAUGAUAGGUAUGUACACUAAAUUUUCUUCUCUCCCUCUGUAAUACUUUCUUCGUUUCAUCAGGAAUUAUACACUUGCAUAGAUAUUUUUAAAGUUCUUCAUGCAAAAAUAAUUGUGUAUUACGUUUGAUUAGAAUUGAAUAUAUUUUCCUUGAAAUAUCUACUAGUCAUGCACAUUUCAUAGCGCUUAGUUCAAUAUAAUAGGACUUUUAAUAAAAAUUCUACACGUAAAUGAUUCUCAAUUGGUUUAAUUUUAAAUGAUAGGUAUGUACACUAAAUUUUCUUCUCUCCCUCUGUAAUACUUUCUUCGUUUCAUCAGGAAUUAUACACUUGCAUAGAUAUUUUUAAAGUUCUUCAUGCAAAAAUAAUUGUGCAUUACGUUUGAUCGGAAUUGAAUAUAUUUUUCUUGAAAUAUCUUCUAGUCAUGCACAUUUCAUAGCGCUUAGUUCAAUAUGAUUUCAGUUACUAAUGAAAACUCUGCACGUAAAUGAUUCUCAGUUGGUUUAGUUUUAAAUGAAAGGUAUGUACAUUUAAUUUUUACUCCUUUUAUGAAAAGUUUUACACGAAAUUAUAAAAUACUGUAUUAUUCCAAAUAUUAGUAGAUAUCACCUUAAGCGAUUCUUAUUGAAUCUUUCCUUAUUUGCAAAGGCAACAGGUUAUGAACGUCCCAUAGCAUUUAUUUUAAUUUUUGUUAAAUCUCAACUCUGUUCUUUCAAUUAAAGAAAUCUAUAUUAUGUCCGUUAGUAUUCGGUCUGUCAAGAUUGUCCAUAAUACCCCUAAAUAAUGCAACUGAUGUAGGGAUACAUAUUUCUUCCGGUUAUUUUCCUUUUCCGUAAUACCUUAGGUUUAUUAAAUAAUUCCCUAUCUUCUGAAAGAUGUGAAGAUAUCUUCCCUAUUUGCCAUCUACUAGAAUUCUUCAUGUCAUAUAAUUUAUCAGGUUCCUACUAUAGAAUUUCUCCCUCUGUAAUACAUUCGUCCUUUCAUGACUUUUUUUUUUUAAAUUUCUUCAUGCAUAAAUAAUUGUUUAUUAGGUUUGAUAAGAAUUGAAUCUAUCUUUCUUGAUAUAUCUACUAGUUAUGCACAUUUCAUAGCGCUUAGUUCAAUUAUAUCAUAUUAAAAUUCUAUAAUUGAAUGAUUUUGAAUUCGCUUAAUUUUAUUUGAAUGAUCUGUACUCUUGAUUUUUCCUUGUUCCAUCAAAAAUUUUGUAGGGUAUGGAAAAUAUCAAUUACUGCCAUAUUUCAAUUACUUGAUGACUCAGCUUUAUAGUUAGGAUGUGAUUCUGAUUGAAUCUUUCAUUUUUUGUAUUGUCAUCUAAUUUUGUAUCUUCUAUAGCAUUUAUUUCAAUUAAUUGCUUUAAAUCAUAACUCGAUUUUUUAAUUAUAUAUAUCUAUAUUUAGUUUCUGAGAAUUCGAUCAGUCAGGAUUGCCCAUAUUAACUAUAGUAUUGCCACCGAUAGAGGGAUACAUAUUUCUUCCGAUAUUUUUUGUUUUCCAUAAUACCUCAAGUAAUUUUUUUUUCUCGUAUUCUCUAAUCGAUGUGGGAAUUUUUUUUUCACUCCAUCUAUUACUGAACGUCGUCAUGUCAUAUAAUUUUUCAGAUUCUUAUUUUAGAGAUAUUUGUAAUAUACUAACGUUCUAAAUUUAAAAUAUUUAUUAUUUAAUAUUAAUAUAAUGAAAAAAAUACUGAUAUACUUCCUUUUACUAAAAAUUUUAUUUUAAACAGUAUGAAAAGUUUCGAUCGUCGUUUUUAAAAAUCAUGAUCUCUUUCAAUCUUUUAAUCGUUACUGCUGUUAUAUCCGUGCAUCCUAUUAUUUUAUUAAAAUCGAAACAAUCGCGGUUGUUAAUACAGUCUCAAGUUUAAUAAGAUAUAGUUACUUCAUUAAUAACUUUGUUUCAUCGUUUGAAAAUUAUUUAAUGCUUUCAUUUAAUCUGUUACGAACUUCGUUAACAUCAGAGAAUAUUUUCCUGAAUUCGUUCGCUCGGACAAUUUUUCUACUUUAUCUAUUUUUCCUACUUUAUCGAGAGUUCAAAUUUAUUUAUAAUUUUGUAAUUUUUUCCGUGACAAUAUUGAUUUAUAUAUCCGUGAAUUUUUUUUUUAGUUAUCCGAGAGUUUUUUGUUCCAGAUAAUUGAAACUCUAAAUUCGUCGAUCGUGUACUCGAUCGCUACACGAUUACAAUACUUAUGAAUUCUCUUGCAUAUUGAUGGGUUAUUGUUAAUUUUUAUGUACGAUGCUAGAUUUUGUAUUCUAUGAAAUUCAACAAAGCUGUGUUUUCGUCUUUCUAUUUUUCGAAACUUUCUAUUUUUCAAUAUUCUGAAUUCUUCGAAAUUAUGAUCGGUAUGUUAGCAAUUUUUUUUUCGACAAAAUUUAUCGUCGUGUUGUUUUAUAGUCAUUUGUAGUAUCAUAUUUUGAGAAUAUAUAUACAUAUAUAUAUAUAUAUAUAUAUAUACAUCGAAUAUUAUUUGUAAUGUAAUAUUAUCAUUAAUGAUUAUUAAAUAUGUUAUUAAUCAUGUAUUUUCGUAGGCCAUCAUGUCUUCUAUCCGUAAGCUUUUUCUAAUCAUGAUUAUCACGAAAAUCUUGCAUGUUCAUUUUUAAUACAAUUUUCAAUUUGUUAUCACAAUUUUUAAUAACUUUACUCUUAGAGAUUUUUAAUUGAUAUAACUUACUUCAUUUUCUAAUUCUGUAUUUGCUAAUCCGGUUAGAAAACUAUUCAAAGCAACGUUUUUUAAACGUUUUAUCCUAACUAUUUCAAUUUACGAUUUAUUAUUUCCUUGGAUUGUUCCUUUCGCUGAAUUAACUAAUUUCUUUAUGCAUUUUUCGCGAAUAUUAACAGAGAUUCGUUGGAGAUUUAUUGGAGAUUCAUUUAGCAAAAGCUUAUUUGGUUUGGUUACAAUCACGUUAUUUUAUUAUUAUUAUUAUUAUUAUUAUUAUUAUUAUUAUUAUUAUUAUUAUUAUCAUCAAAAUCUAUAUCAAUGUGAUCGAUUUAUGUCGAUAUUUAAUCGAAUAAAGCGCCUCAAGAACGGAAUAUCUAUUUGAUCUACAAGGAUCACGAGCUUGUUCGUAUAAAGGAACAAAUAAUAACAUGUACAUUAGAUUCGUCGGAACAUGCAUUUUGUAUUCUGCUGUUUUUUUUUUGAUAUUGUUUAACGAAAAAUAUUUUUUAAU